GAUGAACGCUGGCGGCGUGCCUAAUACAUGCAAGUCGAGCGAACGGACGAGAAGCUUGCUUCUCUGAUGUUAGCGGCGGACGGGUGAGUAACACGUGGAUAACCUACCUAUAAGACUGGGAUAACUUCGGGAAACCGGAGCUAAUACCGGAUAAUAUUUUGAACCGCAUGGUUCAAAAGUGAAAGACGGUCUUGCUGUCACUUAUAGAUGGAUCCGCGCUGCAUUAGCUAGUUGGUAAGGUAACGGCUUACCAAGGCAACGAUGCAUAGCCGACCUGAGAGGGUGAUCGGCCACACUGGAACUGAGAAACGGUCCAGACUCCUACGGGAGGCAGCAGUAGGGAAUCUUCCGCGAUGGGCGAAAGCCUGACGGAGCAACGCCGCGUGAGUGAUGAAGGUCUUCGGAUCGUAAAACUCUGUUAUUAGGGAAGAACAUAUGUGUAAGUAACUGUGCACAUCUUGACGGUACCUAAUCAGAAAGCCACGGCUAACUACGUG
rnacentral:rRNA from 1 species